rnacentral:misc_RNA from 1 species
GAUGAAGAACGCAGCGAAAUGCGAUAAGUAAUGUGAAUUGCAGAAUUCAGUGAAUCAUCGAAUCUUUGAACGCACAUUGCGCCCGCCAGUAUUCUGGCGGGCAUGCCUGUUCGAGCGUCAUUUCAACCCUCAAGACCCCUUCGGGGGACUUGGUGUUGGGGACCGGCACAGGGGCCUGCCUGCUUGUCUUGCAGCGCCCUCGCCGCCCCCGAAAUGAAUUGGCGGCCUCGUCGCGGCCUCCCCUGCGUAGUAGCACAAACCUCGCAACGGGAACGUGACGGCGGCCACUGCCGUAAAACAACCCAAUUUUAUUAGAGUUGACCUCGAAUCAGGUAGGAAUACCCGCUGAACUUAAGCAUAUCAAUAGCGGAGGA